GGGUUGUGAGGUUAAGCGACUAAGCGUACACGGUGGAUGCCCUGGCAGUCAGAGGCGAUGAAGGACGUGCUAAUCUGCGAUAAGCGUCGGUAAGGUGAUAUGAACCGUUAUAACCGGCGAUUUCCGAAUGGGGAAACCCAGUGUGAUUCGUCACACUAUCAUUAACUGAAUCCAUAGGUUAAUGAGGCGAACCGGGGGAACUGAAACAUCUAAGUACCCCGAGGAAAAGAAAUCAACCGAGAUUCCCCCAGUAGCGGCGAGCGAACGGGGAGCAGCCCAGAGCCUGAAUCAGUGUGUGUGUUAGUGGAAGCGUCUGGAAAGGCGCGCGAUACAGGGUGACAGCCCCGUACACAAAAAUGCACAUGCUGUGAGCUCGAUGAGUAGGGCGGGACACGUGGUAUCCUGUCUGAAUAUGGGGGACCAUCCUCCAAGGCUAAAUACUCCUGACUGACCGAUAGUGAACCAGUACCGUGAGGGAAAGGCGAAAAGAACCCCGGCGAGGGGAGUGAAAAAGAACCUGAAACCGUGUACGUACAAGCAGUGGGAGCACGCUUAGGCGUGUGACUGCGUACCUUUUGUAUAAUGGGUCAGCGACUUAUAUUCUGUAGCAAGGUUAACCGAAUAGGGGAGCCGAAGGGAAACCGAGUCUUAACUGGGCGUUAAGUUGCAGGGUAUAGACCCGAAACCCGGUGAUCUAGCCAUGGGCAGGUUGAAGGUUGGGUAACACUAACUGGAGGACCGAACCGACUAAUGUUGAAAAUUAGCGGAUGACUUGUGGCUGGGGGUGAAAGGCCAAUCAAACCGGGAGAUAGCUGGUUCUCCCCGAAAGCUAUUUAGGUAGCGCCUCGUGAAUUCAUCUCCGGGGGUAGAGCACUGUUUCGGCAAGGGGGUCAUCCCGACUUACCAACCCGAUGCAAACUGCGAAUACCGGAGAAUGUUAUCACGGGAGACACACGGCGGGUGCUAACGUCCGUCGUGAAGAGGGAAACAACCCAGACCGCCAGCUAAGGUCCCAAAGUCAUGGUUAAGUGGGAAACGAUGUGGGAAGGCCCAGACAGCCAGGAUGUUGGCUUAGAAGCAGCCAUCAUUUAAAGAAAGCGUAAUAGCUCACUGGUCGAGUCGGCCUGCGCGGAAGAUGUAACGGGGCUAAACCAUGCACCGAAGCUGCGGCAGCGACGCUGAUGCGUUGUUGGGUAGGGGAGCGUUCUGUAAGCCUGUGAAGGUGUGCUGUGAGGCAUGCUGGAGGUAUCAGAAGUGCGAAUGCUGACAUAAGUAACGAUAAAGCGGGUGAAAAGCCCGCUCGCCGGAAGACCAAGGGUUCCUGUCCAACGUUAAUCGGGGCAGGGUGAGUCGACCCCUAAGGCGAGGCCGAAAGGCGUAGUCGAUGGGAAACAGGUUAAUAUUCCUGUACUUGGUGUUACUGCGAAGGGGGACGGAGAAGGCUAUGUUGGCCGGGCGACGGUUGUCCCGGUUUAAGCGUGUAGGCUGGUUUUCCAGGCAAAUCCGGAAAAUCAAGGCUGAGGCGUGAUGACGAGGCACUACGGUGCUGAAGCAACAAAUGCCCUGCUUCCAGGAAAAGCCUCUAAGCAUCAGGUAACAUCAAAUCGUACCCCAAACCGACACAGGUGGUCAGGUAGAGAAUACCAAGGCGCUUGAGAGAACUCGGGUGAAGGAACUAGGCAAAAUGGUGCCGUAACUUCGGGAGAAGGCACGCUGAUAUGUAGGUGAAGCGACUUGCUCGUGGAGCUGAAAUCAGUCGAAGAUACCAGCUGGCUGCAACUGUUUAUUAAAAACACAGCACUGUGCAAACACGAAAGUGGACGUAUACGGUGUGACGCCUGCCCGGUGCCGGAAGGUUAAUUGAUGGGGUUAGCGCAAGCGAAGCUCUUGAUCGAAGCCCCGGUAAACGGCGGCCGUAACUAUAACGGUCCUAAGGUAGCGAAAUUCCUUGUCGGGUAAGUUCCGACCUGCACGAAUGGCGUAAUGAUGGCCAGGCUGUCUCCACCCGAGACUCAGUGAAAUUGAACUCGCUGUGAAGAUGCAGUGUACCCGCGGCAAGACGGAAAGACCCCGUGAACCUUUACUAUAGCUUGACACUGAACAUUGAGCCUUGAUGUGUAGGAUAGGUGGGAGGCUUUGAAGUGUGGACGCCAGUCUGCAUGGAGCCGACCUUGAAAUACCACCCUUUAAUGUUUGAUGUUCUAACGUGGACCCGUAAUCCGGGUUGCGGACAGUGUCUGGUGGGUAGUUUGACUGGGGCGGUCUCCUCCUAAAGAGUAACGGAGGAGCACGAAGGUUGGCUAAUCCUGGUCGGACAUCAGGAGGUUAGUGCAAUGGCAUAAGCCAGCUUGACUGCGAGCGUGACGGCGCGAGCAGGUGCGAAAGCAGGUCAUAGUGAUCCGGUGGUUCUGAAUGGAAGGGCCAUCGCUCAACGGAUAAAAGGUACUCCGGGGAUAACAGGCUGAUACCGCCCAAGAGUUCAUAUCGACGGCGGUGUUUGGCACCUCGAUGUCGGCUCAUCACAUCCUGGGGCUGAAGUAGGUCCCAAGGGUAUGGCUGUUCGCCAUUUAAAGUGGUACGCGAGCUGGGUUUAGAACGUCGUGAGACAGUUCGGUCCCUAUCUGCCGUGGGCGCUGGAGAACUGAGGGGGGCUGCUCCUAGUACGAGAGGACCGGAGUGGACGCAUCACUGGUGUUCGGGUUGUCAUGCCAAUGGCACUGCCCGGUAGCUAAAUGCGGAAGAGAUAAGUGCUGAAAGCAUCUAAGCACGAAACUUGCCCCGAGAUGAGUUCUCCCUGACUCCUUGAGAGUCCUGAAGGAACGUUGAAGACGACGACGUUGAUAGGCCGGGUGUGUAAGCGCAGCGAUGCGUUGAGCUAACCGGUACUAAUGAACCGUGAGGCUUAACCUUACAACGCCGAAG
rnacentral:rRNA from 1 species